rnacentral:rRNA from 1 species
ACAUGCAAGUGGUAGGAAGGCCGAAACGGUGACCGACCCUUCGGGGAGGCUUGCACAGGUGCUGCAUGGCUGUCGUCAGCUCGUGUCGUGAGAUGUUCGGUUAAGUCCGCUAACGAGCGCAACCCUCGCUGUGUGUUAUAUGUGUCACACGGGACUGCCGGUCUUAAGCCGGAGGAAGGUGGGGAUGAUGUCAAGUCAGCAUGGCCUUUAUAUCCUGGGCUACACACACGCUACAAUGGCCAACACAAUAGGUUGCUAAGCCGCGAGGUGGCGCCAAUCCAUAAAGUUGGUCUCAGUUCAGAUUGUAGGCUGCAACCCGCCUGCAUGAAGAUGGAGUUGCUAGUAACCGCAGGUCAGCUAUACUGCGGUGAAUACGUUCCCGGGGCUU